rnacentral:rRNA from 1 species
GUGGGGAAUAUUGCACAAUGGGGGAAACCCUGAUGCAGCAACGCCGCGUGGAGGAUGACGCAUUUCGGUGUGUAAACUCCUUUUAUAAGGGAAGAUAAUGACGGUACCUUAUGAAUAAGCACCGGCUAACUCCGUGCCAGCAGCCGCGGUAAUACGGAGGGUGCAAGCGUUACUCGGAAUCACUGGGCGUAAAGGAUGCGUAGGCUGUAAUAUAAGUCAGAAGUGAAAUCCAACGGCUUAACCGUUGAACUGAGUUUGAAACUGUUUUACUAGAAUAUGGGAGAGGUAGAUGGAAUUGGUAGUGUAGGGCUAAAAUCCGUAGAUAUCACCAGGAAUACCGAUUGCGAAGGCGAUCUACUGGAACAUUAUUGACGCUGAGGCAUGAAAGCGUGGGGAGCAAACAGAAUUAGAAACCCCUGUAGUC